rnacentral:rRNA from 1 species
GACGAACCAUGCGAACGUUGUUCGGAAUCACUGGGCAUAAAGGGCGCGUAGGCGGCUUUUCAAGUCAGGGGUGAAAUCCGGCAGCUCAACUGUCGAAGUGCCCUUGAUACUGAUGAGCUCGAGGGAGGUAGGGGUGUGUGGAACUUCCGGUGGAGCGGUGAAAUGCGUUGAUAUCGGAAGGAACGCCGGUGGCGAAAGCGACGCACUGGACCUCUUCUGACGCUGAGGCGCGAAAGCUAGGGGAGCAAACGGG